rnacentral:misc_RNA from 1 species
GAUGAAGAACGUAGCGAAAUGCGAUAAGUAAUGUGAAUUGCAGAAUUCAGUGAAUCAUCGAAUCUUUGAACGCACCUUGCACCCUUUGGCAUUCCGAAGGGUAUGCUCGUUUGAGUGUCAUUGUACUCUCACUCUCCCGAUGCUUUUGGAUCGGGAGUGGUGGACUUGGGUGUUGCUGCUUUGCUGUGGCUCGCCUCAAAUGGAGUAGUGCAACUCUUGGUUGGACAUAGUACGGCGUGAUAAGUGUCUUCGCCGGCGCCUCAUUAUAGAGGGUGGCCGAUCGGGAGCUCUGUGCUUCAAACCGUCUUCGGACAACAUCUGACAACUUGACCUCAAAUCGAGUAGGACUACCCGCUGAACUUAAGCAUAUCAAUAAGCGAAGGA